rnacentral:rRNA from 1 species
CCUUUAGUGGGGACAACAUAUGGAAACGUAUGCUAAUACCGAAUGUGCUCUACGGAGUAAAGGAGCCCUCUUCUUGAAAGGUUUCGCUAUAGGAUGAGCCCGCGUGAGAUUAGCUAGUUGGUAAGGUAAUGGCUUACCAAGGCUACGAUCUCUAGCUGGUUUGAGAGGAUGAUCAGCCACACUGGGACUGAGACACGGCCCAGACUCCUACGGGAGGCAGCAGUGGGGAAUAUUGCACAAUGAGCGAAAGCUUGAUGCAGCCAUACCGCGUGUGUGAAGAAGGCCCGAGGGUUGUAAAGCACUUUCAAUUGUGAGGAAGAUAGUAUAGUUAAUACCUGUAUUAUUUGACGUUAACUUUAGAAGAAGCACCGGCUAACUCUGUGCCAGCAGCCGCGGUAAUACAGAGGGUGCAAGCGUUAUUCGGAAUUACUGGGCGUAAAGCGCGCGUAGGCGGGCUAUUAAGUCAGUUGUGAAAGCCCUGGGCUCAACCUGGGAACUGCAUCUGAUACUGGUAGUCUAGAGUUUAAGAGAGGGAAGUGGAAUUCCAGGUGUAGCAGUGAAAUGCGUAGAUAUCUGGAGGAACAUCAGUGGCGAAGGCGACUUCCUGGCUUAAAACUGACGCUGAGGUGCGAAAGCGUGGGUAGCGAACGGGAUUAGAUACCCCGGUAGUCCACGCCGUAAACGAUGUCAACUAACUGUUGGCCUUAU